rnacentral:rRNA from 1 species
CAUAGCGACUAUCGUGGCAUAUCAAUAAGCGGAGGAAAAGAAACUAACAAGGAUUCCCCUAGUAACGGCGAGUGAAGCGGGAAGAGCUCAAAUUUGAAAUCUUAAAGGGUUUCCCUUUACGAAUUGUAGUUUAUAAGAAGUGUUUUCUGCUAGUAGAGUGGCUAAAAGUUCUUUGGAAUAGGACAUCAUAGAGGGUGAGAAUCCCGUAUUUGGUCAGUUACUUUCUAGCUGUGUGAUACACUUUCAAAGAGUCGGAUUGUUUGGGAAUGCAGUCCAAAAUGGGUGGUAAAUUUCAUCUAAAGCUAAAUAUUGGCGAGAGACCGAUAGCGAACAAGUACCGUGAGGGAAAGAUGAAAAGAACUUUGAAAAGAGAGUUAAACAGUACGUGAAAUUGUCAAAAGGGAAGCGUUUGACACCAGUGUUGUUUAGUUGAAAAUCAAUUCAAUAGUUUUUGAUUCUAAGUAGUAUUGACUUCAUCAGCUUGCUGCUUUCUUCUCAGAAAUUAUUGAAUGCACUUUUCAGUUAACAAGUCAACAUCAAUUUCUUUUGUUGUAAAAGGGUAAGAGGAAGGUGGCUUGCGCUUCGGCUCAAGUGUUUAUAGCCUUUUAUCUCUGCAAUCGGAGAGAUUGAGGUCUGCAGCGUAGAUCCUUCGGGGUUAGAUACAUUGGUGCUAAGCUAUAGCCUUGUAUAGACAACUUGUUGACUAUGCUCAGUCAUGUAGCUUACUCGCUGAUGCUAUUUUACCUACGCUUAGGAUGUUGAUAGUCACAGCGUGUAC